UGUGUCCAAACUUUUGACUGGUACUUGCUAAAUUAAUUUGAUUAAUAUUAUGGUGUUUCUAUUCCAGGAAAAACCCUCUGGGUAUCUGUUAGAAUGGAACGGAAAAUAUGUCGCUGUACAACGUGACGGUAGGCAGUACAGUACUGGGAUAUUUAACUAAAGAAUCCCUGUGUGGUGCGGAGAACCCCAACGGGGAGGAAGGAGUAGGCUGUCCUUGUAAAUAAGAAUUUGUAAGAACUGAUUCCAUAUGUGUUAUUUCAUAGUUAUGAUGUUUUCACAACAUAAAUGUGAUGUGUACUACAAAAUGCGGGAUAAGUGGGUUCACAGGGUUCAAAUCCCUGUUCAUUUUCCUUUAACCUAGAGUGAGUGAGAAAAAGGAACAUGGGGUGAGACAUUCUCACUAAUUUAUAAAUAAAGCCAGUACGACGUAACGGUUGGGAGUAGGCUACAGGAUUGGAGGAUUCUAAACAUUUUGCCUUCAUUAAACAUUACUCAACACUAGUGAGACUAAUUUCGCCUAUGGUAAGCCUACAGUAUAUUGAACAAAUGUUUUUUUCAAUGACGUGACUCUCUGCCAAUAAUUACAUUUAGAGGAUUGGAAAUUAAUAUCUAAAUGGGCAUUUUCCUUUAGAUAUUCUCACAGAUCCUCAGGGGCUUUUAUAUCAUUCUAAAUGUAUUAAUAAUAAUAAUCACUUUGUUUAAAAAGUAACGAUAUUUUGGAGAUUUCAUUUUCCUUUAACCUAGAGUGAGUGAGAAAAAGGAAAAAAAGUAGACAUCACUUGCUUAUAUUCAAUCAACAAAUUUCUCAAGAGUAUCAUGGCAUAUUUGAACAAGUUAUUUGUUAUGGAUCCAUAACUAAAUAAACAUCAGCAUUUUGAAAGAGUAUUUUUAUCAUUAUAUCAUUAACAAAAGCUGAUGAAGAAAAACAGGACUGUACAGUAUAUGCUUUUACAUAUGGAUCAUAAAGCAUUUAGAAGAUACAAGCCACCUGCAUUUGUUUAUUAGGCAAUAUUUUUUUUUUAAAUUUUAUUUACUUGUGCAGUCUGACAAGUAAACAUAGCAUACAGUAAAUACUGUAGUAAACAUGGGAAAGUGCCUAAUUCCUUACAAAAGGGUUAGCAGGCCAUGUACAGACUUUCUCGGUGACCUCAAGUACUCAUUAACUCUGUCUUUAAUGCUAUUUUCGGGUUGCAUCAGUCAUGGACAGAAACUUCUGAGACACAGUAUUAAUGAUGAACACCCAGAGGUUCACUGGUAAGCCACAUUUGCCUCGGGAUCCAUCCCAGUUUGUAUUCUGUGCCCACUCAUGGUAUCUCUGUUUGGUUACACAUCCUUGGAAUAGCAGAACUACAUAAUAACGGUCAGGGCGGCCCUUGCUGUGCCUGGUGUGCAUUUGUGGUCAAGUUCUGUUGUCAGAAGAGGAAUGGAAAUGUCAGGGUGAACCGACGACCUGACGAACCUGCGAUGUAUGUUGACUCUGCCUGUCGGAGGUGGAGUUGCCCUUUUCAACGCGUCAUUCUCCACCUGACUCUCCGCCAAUACUGCCUGACUCUCCGCUAAUGAGGAGUGACUUUCCACCAAUACCACCUGGCUCUGGACCAAUGCACAUUAAGCAGAUGAGCAGAAAGGUACUGUGAUUUUUUAUUUUUUAUUAACAACUCGUUUUUGAAUGUUAACUGUGUUAAGGGUGGAGUUUUGGGUGGAGUGAGGAAAGGUGUUACUUUCAGCCACUUUACAAUAGGCUGUAAGUAUACAGAAGAUUGCUGCUUGUCCUCACUUUCAUUAUACUGUAGCACCAUGACCAGUAUCUCUAUUCAAUUGAGCAAAUUAAGGGCUUUCAGGAGGAACAGAAAAUCUACAGGAGACAAAAAAUACUGGUAGACUUGGGGAUUUUGGUCAAGGACUGUGCCGUUCGCAAACACUAUCAUCAGAUGCCUGUUUUACGCCUAACUUGAAAGCCCAGGAAAAUGAACAGCGAGACUAUUCAAGCCAUCGACUCACUCAUGAAUGAAGAUGACGAGCGAUCGGCAAAGGCAAUAUGUAAUCUGUUGGCAUAAUGACACGACAUCGACAUCACUCUAAUUACAGUAAGAAGACAGCUGAAGAAACUUGCAUGGAUUUGCGGAAAGGCUCGGCCCAGGCAUGGAUCAAAGCUGGCUAGACAUUCAAUAAUGUCAUCUUCACAGACGAAUCAACCCGUGGCCCUUGAGCAAUUUGCUCAAAAUUGCUACAGAAAAAAAGGAAGACCAAACAAGCCGAGUUCCAAGCAUCCGCUCAAACUCCAUGUGUGGGGGGUCAAUUUCUCGCCAGGGACCAGGCCCAUAUUUGAUUUUUGAUGGUAUAUGGCUCAAAAUUUCUUUGAGGAAUAAAUCAUCAAGAGAUAUGCUGGACCCUAUGUCAGAGAGACAAUGACCCAAAAUACACUGCCGCCCAGGUUUGCGUUGCAAAUGAGGGCAUAAACUGGGUCAAGACGCCAGCAGAGUCUCCUGAUUUAAACCCGAUCAAAUUUGUUUGGCAUCAACUGAAAACAUGCAUCCGUAGCUCUGCCAAGCCGACAAGCAAAGAUGAACUGGUCAAGGCCAUCAAGAUGUUUUGGCUAGAGAAAUUGACGAUACAACAAUGCAACAAAUACAUUGAUCUUCUCAUCAAGGUUUUACCUGUGGUUGUGGAGCUGGGUGGAAGUGCGACUAAAAUGUAGUUUAUGUAAACAUCCGUAUUUGAAAAUCUUUUUUCUCGUUAUUUUAUUUUAUUAACAAAAGCAUAAAGAUGUUGCUGAAUAAAUACUGUACUGCUGUUUUGAGUUAGAAAUGUAACACUUUAGAGUACUUAAGUAUCGAAUACAUUGCAAGUUGGAGGAUUUUCACAACAGUAGCCGGGUUAUAAAAAGUCUAUUGUCCUGCUAAUAGGAAACAUUUGCAUGAUGGGCUACAGUUGUGAAAAGCAAGUGUUUGAAAUCCUGUUUUCAAAAUGCCUUCAGUUGUCCAUCACUACUGUAAAUUAAAAUGCAGCAUCUUGUUUA